ensembl:misc_RNA Metazoa_SRP Metazoan signal recognition particle RNA
GCCGGGCAUGGUGGCUCAUGCCUGUAAUCCCAUCACUUUGGGAGGCUGAGGUGGGUGGAUCACCUGAGGACAGGAGUUCAAGACCAGCCUGGCCAACAUGGUGAAACCCCAUCUCUA